AGGAGAUCAGCAAAAACUCUUUGAAACAUCUUUCUAAUACAACAAAGGCACCCCCAGAUCAAGACAGCAAGAAAAAGUAGCAAAAGAAGUCAGCCAAAUGUGACACCAGUGUGUUUCGUGGACUGUUUUACAAAUUAGCCAAUACAAAAGCAACCACUAUCUCUGCCUCAUUGAGAAAAGAGAUGUUCUGUGAAGGAGUGGAUGGCUCUGAGGACUGGUAACAUGAUGUAAAGCUCAGGCAUGAUCCCUUUGAAGUCACAAGCUGUGGGAAAGAAGGGCAGCGCUCCCACGCUCAGGGAAGAAU